rnacentral:rRNA from 1 species
AGUCAUCUGCCCAAUGAAUAAUUUAUUUUAAUGGCUGCAGUAUAACUAACUGUACAAAGGUAGCAUAAUCAAUUGAUUUUUAAAUGAAAUCUGGAAUGAAAGGAUUAAUGAAAUAUAUACUGUCUCAUAUUUAUUUUAUGAAUUUAAAAUUUUAAUAAAAAUGUUAAAAUUUAUUUAUGGGACGAUAAGACCCUAUAGAAUUUUAUAUUAAAUUAAUUUUAUAAUUAAAUAUAAAAUUUAAUUUAAUAUUUAAUUGGGAGAAUUAUUAAAUUUAAUAAAUUUUAAUUAAUAAAAACUUUAAUUAAAGAAAAUUUAUUGAUUUUUAAUUUAAAAUUAAUAGAUUAAAUUACCUUAGGGAUAACAGCGUAAUAUUUUUUUAUAGAUCUUAUAGAAAAAAAUGAUUGCGACCUCGAUGUUGAAUUAAGAUAAAUUUUAAAUGUAGAAGUUUAAUAAUUAAGUCUGUUCGACUUUUAAAAUCUUACAUGAUUUGAGUUCAAAUCGACGUAAGU